CUUCUGACUGGCGCCGCUACUCUGGCAACAGAGCGGCGGAUGCCGGGAAGUUGGUCAAACUUGAUCAUUUAGAGGAAGUAAAAGUCGUAACAAGGUUUCCGUAGGUGAACCUGCGGAAGGAUCAUUACCGAUCAAUGCAUCCAAAACCUCUCGUGGGUUUUCAGUGUGAACUGUCAAUCAAAUUUUUAGGGGUCGGCGAGAUGCCGUUAAAUGGCGCGUGGGCGCGUGCAACGCACGCGUGCACACGCCAGCCCCGCCAUUGUCUGUGUUCCAUCAAACUGAAACGUUUUGACUGAAAUUGAAGAAAGAAAAAAGAGAGACAACUUUUGACGGUGGAUCUCUUGGCUCACGUAUCGAUGAAGAACGCAGCCAGCUGCGAUAAGUAGUGUGAAUUGCAGAAUUCAGUGAAUCAUUGAAUCUUUGAACGCAAAUGGCGCUCUUGGGUUCUCCCAGGAGCAUGUCUGUCUGAGCGUCGGAUAUCACACGAAGCAAUCGUGCACAUCGAUUGCGUACUUGAGGUUGUCACGGACGGAAGACAUUCCAGGCCGUGUCCCUCGAAAGAAGGCAGCUGUGGUGCCGCACGCGCUAUCAUUCGAUUGAUAGUGAGUGACCUCUAUGAAACAAGUCAUGGGUUCAGUGCGUAGGCUAAAAGUAACAUUUCCUCCGCACUACCGUGAUGUAGAGGUUGGGGUUCCCAGUUUUUUUGUACAUUGACAAAUCUUGACCUCAGAUCAGGCAAGGCUACCCGCUGAAUUUAAGCAUAUUAAUAAGCGGAGGAGAAGAAACUAACAAGGAUUCCCUCAGUAACAGCGAGUGAAGCGGGAACAGCUCAAAUUUGAAAUCUCCGACGCUUGCGUCGGCGAGUUGUAGUUGCGAGAAGCACUUUCUAGGCGGAUCGGUGGUGCCUAAGUUGCUUGGAACAGUACGUCAUAGAGGGUGACAACCCCGUC
rnacentral:ncRNA from 1 species